UACGGUAGGGGCAAGCGUUGUCCGGAUUAUUGGGCGUAAAGAGCGUGUAGGCGGCCAGACAGGUCCGUUGUGAAACUCGAGGCUCAACCUCGAGACGCCGAUGGAAACCGUCUGGCUAGAGUCCGGAAGAGGAGAGUGGAAUUCCGUGGUGUAGCGGUGAAAUGCGCAGAUAUCAGGAGGAACACCUAUGCGAAGGCAGCUCGCUGGGACGUUACUGACGCUGAGACGCGAAGCGUGGGAGCAAACAGG
rnacentral:rRNA from 1 species